rnacentral:lncRNA from 1 species
AUUUGGAAAACAGAUCUGAUAUGAAGCUUGGCAGGAAGGAUUCUUUCAAGUUAGAUUUUGAAAAGUAUGACCCUAAGUACUCAAUAAAAAUUCAGUGAUGAAAAUGAUAAUCAUUUGGAGUCUUAAACUGCUGAGACAAAUGUCUAAUUUCCUGUUGGAAUAUGAAACAUAUUGCCCCUGAGUCAAAUAUCAUCCACCAAACCGCAUUUGGACUAUUCCAAUCACAAGCAUAAAAUGGAUUCGUGCUACAUGAUCCUGCUAGGGACGUGGCUAAUGUAUUUUCCAUCUCUUUUCUUUGCCACACCAGCCUUCCUCCUGCAGUGUAUGGCAUAGUGUCGGGAAACAGUGAGCUGUUUGGUGGAUCUGGCUCCCAGGAAUGGCAUUCCUUCGAAUUUGGGAGCAAUGACAGUGAUGGUUCUGAAUCCACUACUGAUUUGAUCCAGAAGUUAUACAUGCUCUUUUCAACUGGGAGAUUGAUGGCAAAAGACCAAGAAGAAGCACUGAGAGAAGAAGUCACAUAUGCAGCAAGUGAGACACAACAAGAAGGAAAAGGUGGUGAGGACAAAAGAUGAUCACAGCAGAAGGGACAGCAGCCCCGAUUCCACGUGCUUCCAGCCAGAAAGUGUGGGUCAUCUUCUAGCAGGCGAGCGGUGAGUGGCAGGCCUUGAUCGCCAGAGCAACUGGGUGUCCCGUGUCUCAAAUCUGAUGAAGACGUCACUGAGGCGCUCUGCAGAACUAGGACUGACCAUUUCCCUCGGGAAUCUAGACAGUUGGCCUUGAAGAGUCGACUGAAGCUUUUCUUUGACAGCUCUAUACAGCUCAGGCAUCAAUAUAUCUGCAUAAAGAAGAUUUUUUUGCCAUCAUUUUUAUGACACAGCUAUCUAAAAUUGGACUCUGUGUAAAAGGCAUUUAGAGUUUAAAUUUCCUAGGAGUAUCUUCUGUCUAUUCACAGAACUAGAAACCCGUGUCUUCGGUUCUGGUAGGACUCGAAUGCUGCACCUUGUCCUGAGUGUCCUGUAAAAACUGCCUAUCAGCCUGCUACCCACACGGGCAAUGCUUUCUCUGUACUUGGACAUGGACAAAAGAACUGGGUGAGGAAGAAAGGAAAAAGUGGGAAGGGGCUAGUUUUAGGAACUGCUUUGUGCCGUGACUGCUGUCAGUUGAGGCGUGCUUUGCUUUGUAUGUACUUGAUUUUUGCUGCAAAAAAAUUAUGGAAAAGCCUGAAAGCUUUAUAUGACGAGAAUUGUUCUUGGGAAUUACAGUGUAACAAGUGACAAUUUCUGAAAUAAAAGCAAGUCUCACCUGGAAGCUUUUGCUGUUCAUUU